rnacentral:rRNA from 1 species
UACGUAGGGGGCAAGCGUUGUCCGGAAUCAUUGGGCGUAAAGAGCGUGUAGGCGGCCAGAAAAGUCCGCUGUGAAAACUCGAGGCUCAACUUCGAGCUGUCGGUGGAAACUUUCUGGCUAGAGUCCGGAAGAGGAGAAUGGAAUUCCUGGUGUAGCGGUGAAAUGCGCAGAUAUCAGGAAGAACACCCGUGGCGAAGGCGGUUCUCUGGGACGGUACUGACGCUGAGACGCGAAAAGCGUGGGGGAGCGAACAGG